GUCGAGGGUACUAGAGUGAUAGCAAUAUUACUUUGGCUAGACCGGCGCACGGGUGCGUAACACGUAUGCAACCUACCUUAUACUGGGGAAUAACUUCGAGAAAUCGGCGCUAAUACCCCAUAACACUGCGAAGAGGCAUCUCUUUGCAUUUAAAGCUCCGGCGGUAUAAGAUGGGCAUGCGUCCAAUUAGCUAGUUGGUGAGGUAACGGCUCACCAAGGCUACGAUUGGUAGGGGUUCUGAGAGGAUGAUCCCCCACACUGGUACUGAGACACGGACCAGACUCCUACGGGAGGCAGCAGUGAGGAAUAUUGCGCAAUGGACGAAAGUCUGACGCAGCCAUGCCGCGUGCAGGAUGACGGCCCUAUGGGUUGUAAACUGCUUUUGUAUGGGAAUAAACCCUUCUACGUGUAGAAGGCUGAAGGUACCAUAAGAAUAAGCACCGGCUAACUCCGUGCCAGCAGCCGCGGUAAUACGGAGGGUGCAAGCGCUAUCCGGAUUUAUUGGGUUUAAAGGGUCCGUAGGCGGGCCGAUAAGUCAGUGGUGAAAGCCCAUAGCUCAACUAUGGAACUGCCAUUGAUACUGUCGGUCUUGAGUAUAUGUGAUGUUGGCGGAAUGUGUAGUGUAGCGGUGAAAUGCUUA
rnacentral:rRNA from 1 species